UACGUAGGGUGCAAGCGUUAAUCGGAAUUACUGGGCGUAAAGCGUGCGCAGGCGGUUAUGCAAGACAGAUGUGAAAUCCCCGGGCUUAACCUGGGAACCGCAUUUGUGACUGCAUAGCUGGAGUACGGCAGAGGGGGAUGGAAUUCCGCGUGUAGCAGUGAAAUGCGUAGAUAUGCGGAGGAACACCGAGUGGAGCGACGGCGCUG
rnacentral:rRNA from 1 species